rnacentral:rRNA from 1 species
CCUACGGGAGGCAGCAGUGGGGAAUAUUGCGCAAUGGGGGAAACCCUGACGCAGCAACGCCGCGUGAGUGAUGAAGGUCUUCGGAUCGUAAAGCUCUGUCUUCAGGGACGAUAAUGACGGUACCUGAGGAGGAAGCCACGGCUAACUACGUGCCAGCAUCCGCUGUAAUACGUAGGUGGGAAGCGGUGUCCGGAUUUAUUGGGCGUAUAGCAUGCGUUGGCGGGUAUUUAAGUGGGAUGUGAAAUCCCGGGGCUUAACCCCGGUGCUGCCUUUCAAACUGGAUAUCUAGAGUGCAGGAGAGGAAAGCGGAAUUCCUGGUGUAGCGGUGAAAUGCGUAGAUAUUAGGCAGAACACCAGUGGCGAAGGCGGCUUUCUGGACUGUAACUGACGCUGAGGCAUGAAAGCGUGGGUAGCAAACAGGAUUAGAUACCCUUGUAGUC